UACGGAGGGUGCGAGCGUUGUCCGGAAUCAUUGGGCGUAAAGGGCGCGUAGGUGGCCCGGUCAGUCUUUGGUGAAAGCGCGGGGCUCAACCCUGCGUCGGCCAGGGAUACUGCCGCGGCUCGAGCACUGUAGAGGCAGGCGGAAUUCCGGGUGUAGCGGUGGAAUGCGUAGAGAUCCGGAAGAACACCGGUGGCGAAGGCGGCCUGCUGGGCUGUUGCUGACGCUGAGGCGCGACAGCGUGGGGAGCAAACAGG
rnacentral:rRNA from 1 species